rnacentral:lncRNA from 1 species
GAAAUACUUGUAACCGAGGAAGAAGGCAGCACUAACCUGAGGAAGAAGGCAGCAGUCGCAGUCGCACACUCGCACAGACGCAGUCGUAGAGGAACAGUCGCAGGCUCGCAGCUCACAGAGACACAGUCACACUGUCGCAGAGGAGACUGGAGAGUGGAGAGGAACUGAUAAAUUGAGAAUCGAUGAAGACUGAAGAGGAUCUGAGGAACCCUAGACCUAAAAUUUUAAAUUGGGUCUAUGAGGUACCGAGGAACUUAGGAACUGAAUGGAUUUUGACGCUAAAUUGAGUGAGCCGGUGAGGUACUGAGGCGGGCUUGGACAUUUGGGCAACUGGGCUUGGACAAUAUUUGUUAUAUGUUAUUUAUAACUUAUAUAGUCUUAUACGGAUAGAGUCUAAAACUCUAAAUAUUUAAUAGUACUACUCCUAAAUUUCGGUUUUUUGGUUUAACCGAAAGUCGAAUUACAUAAAUCGUACACCGCAUUAAAAAAUCAAAAAUUAAUAAUUAUAAAAUUGUGAACCGAUCAAAAAAC